rnacentral:misc_RNA from 1 species
GAUACCGGAACAGCCGGUGACAAUGGUGCCUUGGUGUGUUAAGCGUUUAUUGAGAAUAAAACAACCGUAGGAUUGGUUGAUUAGGUAGAGAAAGGGAUGAUGAUUUGCAGCCGUGGAGUUGAGGAAGAGAAAGGUGCGUUGAUAAUGCUGGUCCGACCGACCGCUGUGUGUGGCGAAAGGUCAAAGUGGUAUUCUCUAGGAAGUUGGAACCGGCAAUCCUGUCCGUGGAGUAGGAA